ACAAUUACUGGGCAUUGUCAUUGGGGUUACUGUGAUUCAGAAGGUGGUUCUGUCAGGGUGAGAAUGUUCCAUUGCACUGUGGUUUGGUUGACCAUUUUGAUUGCCCCAGAUGUGGGUAACUGGGCAUGUAAUUUUUGGUACUUGGGUCUGCGUUCACGCUGUCCCAGU